UUUCUGUGCUACACAAGAUUAAAGGUCGCUC
rnacentral:piRNA from 1 species